GACGAACGCUGGCGGCGUGCUUAACACAUGCAAGUCGAGCGGUAAGGCCCUUUCGGGGGUACGACGAGCGGCGAACGGGUGAGUAACACGUGGGUGACCUGCCCUCAGCUCUGGGAUAAGCCUGGGAAGCCGGGUCUAAUACUGGAUAUGACUCCAUGACGCAUGUUGUGGGGUGGAAAGCCUUGUGCGGCUGAGGAUGGGCCCGCGGCCUAUCAGCUUGUUGGUGGGGGAUGGCCUACCAAGGCGACGACGGGUAGCCGGCCUGAGAGGGCGACCGGCCACACUGGGACUGAGACACGGCCCAGACUCCUACGGGAGGCAGCAGUGGGGAAUCUUGCGCAAUGGGCGAAAGCCUGACGCAGCGACGCCGCGUGA
rnacentral:rRNA from 1 species